rnacentral:rRNA from 1 species
GUCUUUUUGAAAUAAUUUAAAGUCUAAUCUGCCCACUGAUAAAAUUAAAGGGCUGCAGUAUAAUGACUGUACAAAGGUAGCAUAAUCAAUAGUUUUUUAAUUGAAAACUUGUAUGAAAGAUUUGAUGAAAUAUAAACUGUCUCUAAUUUAUAAAUAGAAUUUUAUUUUUUAGUAAAAAAGCUCAAAUAAAUUUAAAAGACGAGAAGACCCUAUAGAGUUUUAUAUUUAAUUUUAUUAAAAAAUUAUAUAAAAAUUAAUAUUUAAAUAAAAUUAAAUAUUAUAUUGGGGUGAUAGAAAAAUUAAAUUAACUUUUUUUAAAAAUUAAACAUAAAUAAAUGAUUAUAUGAUCCAUAAAUAAUGAUUAUAAGAAAAAAUUACCUUAGGGAUAACAGCGUAAUAUUUUUUUUUAGCUCAAAUAAAAAAAAAAGUUUGCGACCUCGAUGUUGGAUUAAGAUAAAAUUUAAAUGCAAAAGUUUAAAAGUUUUGAUCUGUUCGAUCAUUAAAAUCUUACA